rnacentral:rRNA from 1 species
UACGUAGGGUGCGAGCGUUGUUCGGAAUUACUGGGCGUAAAGGGCGCGUAGGCGGCCUGCUAAGUCGGACGUGAAAUCCCUCGGCUCAACCGGGGAACUGCGUCCGAUACUGGUGGGCUCGAAUCCGGGAGAGGGAUGUGGAAUUCCAGGUGUAGCGGUGAAAUGCGUAGAUAUCUGGAGGAACACCGGUGGCGAAGGCGGCAUCCUGGACCGGUAUUGACGCUGAUGCGCGAAAGCCAGGGGAGCAAACGGG